rnacentral:rRNA from 1 species
GCAGCCAUCAUUUAAAGAAAGCGUAAUAGCUCACUGAUCGAGUCGUCCUGCGCGGAAGAUGUACCGGGGCUAAGCCAAUAACCGAAGCUGCGGAUGUGCCGCGAGGCACGUGGUAGGAGAGCGUUCUGUAAGCCUGUGAAGGUGUCUUGUGAAGGAUGCUGGAGGUAUCAGAAGUGCGAAUGCUGACAUGAGUAGCGAUAAAGAGUGUGAGAAACACUCUCGCCGAAAGUCCAAGGGUUCCUGCUUAAAGCUAAUCUGAGCAGGGUAAGCCGGCCCCUAAGUCGAGGCAGAAAUGCGUAGACGAUGGGAACCACGUUAAUAUUCGUGGGCCAGGAGGAUGUGACGGAUCUCGACUGUAGUUUGCCCUUAUUGGAUUGGGUGGGCUGCUUAGAGGUUCCUGGAAAUAGCCCUCCAUUAGACCGUACCCUAAACCGACACAGGUGGACUGGUAGAGCAUACCAAGGCGCUUGAGAGAACUACGUUGAAGGAAC